UUAUGUUAUCUCUUUUUCUGUGUUUUUUUAGUAGUUUUGUGUUAUGUAGGGUUUGUUUUUUCCCUCUUUAUUCUUUUUAGUGUGUCGUUUUCUUGUAUAUAUAUAAACAUAUAUAUAAGAAUCAAAUAUGAAUAACCUAUACGUGAUAUUUAAAACAUUUUUAAAUAACUUGUGUAUGAUUUCAAUGAAUAACUCGUAAAUUACAACUAGAACUAGUUAAGUUAUUUCUAGGUUAAUUUUUCUAUUUAUGUUAUCUCUUUUUCUAUGUUUUUAAAAUAGUUAUGUGUUAUGUAGGGUUUGUAUUUUCCUUCUUUAUUCUUUUUAGUGUGUCGUUAUCUUGUAUAUAUAUAAACAUAUAUGUAAGAAUCAAAUAUGAAUAACCCAUACAUGAUAUUUAAAACAUUUUUAAACAACUUGUGUAUGAUUUCAAUGAAUAACUCGUAAAUUACAACUAGAACUGGUUAAGUAAUUUCUAGGUUGAUUUUUCUAUUUAUGUUAUCUCUUUUUCUGUGUUUUUUAAUAGUUAUGUGUAAUGUAGGGUUUCUUCUUUCCCUAUUUAUUCUUUUUAGUGUGUCGUUAUCUUGUAUAUAUAUAAACAUAUAUAUAAGAAUCAAAUAUGAAUAACCCAUACGUGAUAUUUAAAACAUUUUUAAACAACUUGUGUAUGAUUUCAAUGAAUAACUCGUAAAUUACAACUAGAACUAGUUAAGUAAUUUCUAGGUUCAUUUUUCUAUUUAUGUUAUCUCUUUUUCUGUGUUUUUUUAAUAGUUUUGUGUUAUGUAGGGUUUGGUUUUUUCCCUCUUUAUUCUUUUUAGUGUUUCGUUUUAUUGUAUAUAUAUAUAUAAACAUAUAUAUAAGAUCCAAAUAUGAAUAACCCAUACAUCGUAUUUAAAACAUUUUUAAACAAUUUGUCUAUGAUUUCAAUGAAUAACUCGUAAAAUACAACUAGAACUUGUUAAGUUAUUUCUAGGUUGAUUUUUCUAUUUACGUUAUCUCUUUUUCUGUGUUUUUUAAUUGUUAUGUGUAAUGUAGGGUUUCUUCUUUCCCUAUUUAUUCUUUUUAGUGUGUCAUUAUCUUGUAUAUAUAUAAACAUAUAUAUAAGAAUCAAAUAUGAAUAACCCAUUCGUGAUAUUUAAAACAUUUUUAAACAACUUGUGUAUGAUUUCAAUGAAUAACUCGUAAAUUACAACUAGAACUAGUUAAGUAAUUUCUAGGUUGAUUUUUCUAUUUAUGUUAUCUCUUUUUCUGUGU
rnacentral:lncRNA from 1 species